AAAGUCCAUUAAACAAAUACAAGGAAGCUCAUGCUAAUACAAAGAAACCGACAUUGGCAUACGUAAAUGAAACCAAACAGUACUGGCUAAAUUAAUUCCAAUAUCUUCCUCAUAUGCCAUGGAUUAAUUAUUUAGUAAUUUAAUUAAAUGUGAAAAGGCACUUGCUGCAUGGCCCACUCAACGGCCAAUCACAAUGCAACUUUAAAAAAAA
rnacentral:lncRNA from 1 species